rnacentral:tRNA from 1 species
UCCGAUAUGGUGUAACGGCUAACAUUGCCGCCUUUCAGCGCCAUAGGCAGCGAUCGCGGCAGCUCGGGGUUCGAUUCCCCGUAUCGGAG